AGAGUUUGAUCCUGGCUCAGGACAAACGCUGGCGGCGUGCGUAACACAUGCAAGUCGAACGCUCUCCCUCCUUUCGGGGAGGGAGGGAGUGGCGGACGGGUGAGGACCACGUGGAUAACCUGCCCCAGAGUGAGGGAUACCCCCGGGAAACCGGGGACAAUCCCGCAUAGGCUUGCUCCUUCACAAGAAGGGACAAGCAAAGCGUCUUUCGCGAGAAGGAGGCGCUCUGGGAGGGGUCCGCGCCUGAUUAGCUGGUUGGUGGGGUAAUGGCUCACCAGGGCUGCGAUCAGUCGCUGGUCUGAGAGGAUGAUCAGCCACACUGGGAUUGAGAACGGCCCAGACUCCUACGGGGGGCAGCAGUGAGGGAUCUUCGGCAAUGGGGGCAACCCUGACCGAGCAACGCCGCGUGCAGGAAGACGGUCUUCGGAUCGUAAACUGCUUUUCUGGGGGACGAGGAUGGACGGUACCCCAGGAAGAAGCCCCGGCUAACUACGUGCCAGCAGCCGCGGUAAGACGUAGGGGGCGAGCGUUGUCCGGAGUUACUGGGCGUAAAGCGCACGCAGGCGGUCUGCCAGGUGUCAAGUGACAGGGUUCGGCUUAACUGAACAGGAGCUGGGCAAACGGGCAGACUUGAGGCUUCCAGAGGGACACGGAAUUCCGGGUGGAGCGGUGAAAUGCGUAGAGAUCCGGAGGAACACCGAAGGCGCAGGCAGUGUCCUGGGGAAGUGCUGACGCUCAGGUGCGAAAGCUAGGGGAGCGAACGGGAUUAGAUACCCCGGUAGUCCUAGCCGUAAACGAUGACCACCAGGUAUGCGGGGUAUCGACCCCCUGCGUGCCGGAGCUAACGCAGUAAGUGGUCCGCCUGGGGAGUACGGUCGCAAGAUUAAAACUCAAAGGAAUUGACGGGGACCCGCACAAGCAGCGGAGCGUGUGGUUUAAUUCGAUGCAACGCG
rnacentral:rRNA from 1 species